rnacentral:rRNA from 1 species
AGCGGCGGACGGGUGAGUAAUGCCUAGGAAAUUCGCCCUGAUGUGGGGGAUAACCAUUGGAAACGAUGGCUAAUACCGCAUGAUGCCUACGGGCCAAAGAGGGGGACCUUCGGGCCUCUCGCGUCAGGAUAUGCCUAGGUGGGAUUAGCUAGUUGGUGAGGUAAGGGCUCACCAAGGCGACGAUCCCUAGCUGGUCUGAGAGGAUGAUCAGCCACACUGGAACUGAGACACGGUCCAGACUCCUACGGGAGGCAGCAGUGGGGAAUAUUGCACAAUGGGCGCAAGCCUGAUGCAGCCAUGCCGCGUGUGUGAAGAAGGCCUUCGGGUUUUAAAGCACUUUCAGUCGUGAGGAAGGUAGUGGAGUUAAUAGCUGCAUUAUUUGACGUUAGCGACCGAAGAAGCACCGGCUAACCUCCGUGCCAGCAGCCGCGGGUAAUACGGAGGGUUGCGAGCGUUAAUCGGAAUUACUGGGCGUAAAGCGCAUGGAGGUGGUUUGUUAAUUCCGAUGUGAAAGCCCCGGGCUCCACCUCCGAAUAGCAUUUUAAACUGGGAGACUAUAGUACUGUAGAGGGGGACGGGAUAGGAAUUUCACUGGUAGCCGGUGAAAUGCGUAGAGAGCGGAAAGGACAUUAGCGAUGGCGAAGGCGUGCCCCCCCGGACAGAUUACUGACACUCAUGAUCCGGAAAGGCGGGGGGACCAAACAAGGAUUAGCAUACCCUGGUAGUCACACCGUAAACGAAUGUCUACUCGUGAGGUUGUGGACCUGUCACCCGUGGCUUUCGCGAGGAUCUAGACGGCGUAUAAGUAGACCGCCGCUGGGGAGUACGGUCGCAAGAUUAAAACUCAAAUGAAUGACGGGGGCCCGCACAAGCGGUGGAGCAUGUGGUUUAAUUCGAUGCAACGCGAAGAACCUUACCUACUCUUGACAUCCAGAGAACUUUCCAGAGAUGGAUUGGUGCCUUCGGGAACUCUGAGACAGGUGCUGCAUGGCUGUCGUCAGCUCGUGUUGUGAAAUGUUGGGUUAAGUCCCGCAACGAGCGCAACCCUUAUCCUUGUUUGCCAGCGAGUAAUGUCGGGAACUCCAGGGAGACUGCCGGUGAUAAACCGGAGGAAGGUGGGGACGACGUCAAGUCAUCAUGGCCCUUACGAGUAGGGCUACACACGUGCUACAAUGGCGCAUACAGAGGGCGGCCAACUUGCGAAAGUGAGCGAAUCCCAAAAAGUGCGUCGUAGUCCGGAUUGGAGUCUGCAACUCGACUCCAUGAAGUCGGAAUCGCUAGUAAUCGUGGAUCAGAAUGCCACGGUGAAUACGUUCCCGGGCCUUGUACACACCGCCCGUCACACCAUGGGAGUGGGCUGCAAAAGAAGUAGGUAGUUAACCUUCGGGGGACGCUACC